rnacentral:rRNA from 1 species
AGUGAACGCUGGCGGUAGGCCUAACACAUGCAAGUCGAACGGCAGCACAGUAAGAGCUUGCUCUUACGGGUGGCGAGUGGCGGACGGGUGAGGAAUACAUCGGAAUCUACUUUUUCGUGGGGGAUAACGUAGGGAAACUUACGCUAAUACCGCAUACGACCUACGGGUGAAAGCAGGGGAUCUUCGGACCUUGCGCGAUUGAAUGAGCCGAUGUCGGAUUAGCUAGUUGGCGGGGUAAAGGCCCACCAAGGCGACGAUCCGUAGCUGGUCUGAGAGGAUGAUCGGCCACACUGGAACGGAGACACGGUCCAGACGCCUACGGGAGGCAGCAGUGGGGAAUAUUGGACAAUGGGCGCAAGCCUGAUCCAGCCAUACCGCGUGGGUGAAGAAGGCCUUCGGGUUGUAAAGCCCUUUUGUUGGGAAAGAAAAGCAGCAGGUUAAUACCCCGCUGUUCUGACGGUACCUAAAGAAUAAGCACCGGCUAACUUCGUG